UUUAAACACGUUCUAAAAACCGAUGUGUAUGUCUAUGGUUUGCCAGAUUUCCUUAAAAAUAACUCGUUUUAAAA